CGUCCCGCUCUGGCCCGAGGCGGCAGACGGUUGCUCUGGAAACCCAGGCUCGACGAGAGGGAGAAGGAUGUGGGGAGCUGCUUGAUUCUUUGGGAUCCUGUGAAUCUAAGAGUGAAUUGUUUGACAGUUCUGACUGCUUCACAAGUUUUUAAACAUUAUUGUGACCAGAGAAGCAACAUGACCUAUGCACCACAGUAACAGUGUUCCCAUGCAGAUUCUGUGGAAAGGGUUUUAACCAGCUAAAAGGCCACAACAAACUUCACAUCAUUAAUAGUGGGGAGAGACUGUACACAUGUUCUGUAUGUUGAUGAACGGAUUAUUGAAUCCUGAAGAAUAAAAGGACAGCUGCAUCAUGAUGAAACCAUGUAAAUGUGGGGAUUAUAGAAAGGAUUUCUGUAUCCCAUUAGCACUGGAAACGCAUCACCACUGUCACACUGGUGAGAUGCUGUUCAGCUGCUCGGAGUGUGUGAACGGAUUGACACCAUCAUCCAACCUGAUGAAACGUCAGUGGGUUCACAGUGGAGAGCAACCAUUCACUUGCUCUGAAUGUGGGAGGGCAUUUGUCCAGCCUGCAGAUUCAUCAUUGAGUUGUCACUGGGGAGAGGCCAUUUCUCUGCCCUGAGUGUGGGAAGAGAUUUACUCAUUUAUCCAACCUGAUGAGGCAUCAGUGAGUUACCCACAGGGAAAGGCCAUUGAGCUGCCCCAAGUAUGGAAGGUACCGUGUGAUUUUUACAGCCUGCGCAUGUACCAAUGAGUUCACACUGGGGAGAAGCCGUUCACCUGCUCUGAGUGUGGGAAGGGAUUCGCUCAGACAUCCAACCUACUGAGACACCAGCAAGUGGAUUCUGCUGCUAAUCGCAUCCAGGACUGAACCACAUUCCCUCUGACGCUUGGUGAAAGGGAAGCAUUACAGGAUUUCACAACUUUUACCCUAUGGCCUGAUUCUUUUGGAGUUCUUUUUACCAAAAGGUUGUUUUAUCUGUGAUCACAUGGAUCAUCAAUUCAGUGACUACUUUGAAGGAUGCUAGAAGGGUAUGAUUUGCAGACAGAAACCUCAAACACCAUGUGCAGACAAUGACUAAAUUAACCAGGACUUAAAUAACCGUAACUGGAUAAAUGUUUGUCUGUUCUGUCGGCAUCAAAGGUUUUAAACAUCAAUUUAACUGGAAGAGCAGUGAGAUGCUCACCCCAAGUAGCGUGCUGCCGCUGGAGAGAGGCUGUUCAUCUGCUCUGAGUGUGGGAAAAAAUUCAGUAAAUAUUUCACUGUGUUAAAACAUCAGCGGGCUCACACUGGAGAGAGCCCAUCUACCUGUUUGGACUAUGGAAAAAUAAUCACUGUUAUCCAGUCUGCAGGUGCAUCAGUGAGUUCACAUUGGGGAGAGGCCACUUAAGUACUCCAACUGUGGGAAGCAAUUUAGAGAUUUAUUUGGUCUACAUGAACACCAGUGAGUUCAUACUGGGGAGAGCCAUUCAUCUGCCCUGACUGUGGGAAGCGCUUACCACAGUCAUCAAAUCUGAGAAAACAUGAGUGAAUUCACAAGUGAAUACAGGAGUUGGGUCAGCUGUUAAUCAGCAACAACAUUCAUGCUCAAUCUCUAAAAUGUCAAAGAACAGUUACAUGAGAUUGUCAUCAUCUACAAGCUCCCCUCCGUGUUGCACUCCAUCCUGCCUUGGAACUAUAUUGGCUGUUCCUUCACUGUUGCAGCGUCAAAAUCCAGGAACUCCUCUCUGACAGCAGUGUGAGUGCCCCUGUACUACAAGGGGCCCUGUAGUCCCAGAAGGCAGCUCACCAUCACCUUCUCAAGCAGGACAAUUUGGGAUGGGCAAUGAGUGCUGACUUGGACAUUGAUACUGUGCCAUGAAUUAAUUUAAAAAUGAGGGAAUAUCUCAUCCAAGCCUGAGCCAUUUUCAUUUGGACAGUGAGUGAAGUGAGUGGGUCAGAGGGUUUCUUUCGGCUGGACUGGCCGCUCUCACCACUUUGCUUCCAGUGAGGCUGGUGCCCUUUAAGUCAACGGGUGCAUAUUCCCAAGGAAAUGUUCCAUAAAAUCUGUGAAGGAUAAUUAUUUACAGCCAAAAAUGAAAUAAUGUAUUUCCUUCCACUACAAAAUCUACAAUGAAUACAUGUUUCUGCCUCAUUGGUCUGGUCCUAUACUAUAGAAUCGAUCGACUCAAUUGAUCUCUGACCAUAUUUACGCUCCACGUGAGCCUCCACCAUUCUCUCUUCACCUCCCCCUUCAGCAUAUCCUUCUAUUCCUUUCUCCCUCAUGUAUGUAUCCAGCUUCUCCUUAAAUAUAUUCCUGCUGUCCACGUCAACCACUUGCUGUCCCUUUAUUCUUGAUUCAUUCAUAGGACAAGGACAACACGGGCUAAGCAACUUUAUCACCUAUCCCUAAUCGUCCAGAGGGGUUAAGAGUCAACCACAUUACUAUGGCCUAGAGUCACAUGUUGGCCAGACAAGGAUGGUAAUUUCCUCCCCUAAAGGGCAUUCAUGAACUGAAUAGGUUUUUCCAACAAUACUGGACUUUUUAUUGAAUUCAAAUCCCUCCAUCUACCAUGACAGGAUUCGAGCCUCGGUACCCAGAACAUUAUCUGGGUCUCGGGAUGAACAGGCCAGUGAUAAUGCCACUAGGCCUCUCCAAUGUGGGAGAGAGUUCCACAUUCUCACCUGUCAUUGAGUUGAAGAGGUUUCUCUUGUAUUCACUAAUGGAUUUUAAAGCCGUUCAUCACCUUGAAGACAUCCGUCAGGUCACCUUUGAACCAUUUUUUCAAAAGAAAAACUUUCUGGUCUUUCCUGAGAGUUAAAUGCUCUCAGCUUUGGUGUUCUUCAUGUGCUUCUGUGUGACACCGUCCCCAGUGACUCUUUCCUUUUUCAAAAUGGAAAUGAUAAAUGGUGACAGUGCUGCCAAUGGCAACUAACCACAGUUCAAAGUAAUUUGAACAUCAUCUCCCCGCUUUUCAAUUCUAUCCCACUUGGCAACACUAAGCAGACACUGUGACAACAGAUGAAUGGACACCACACAACCAUCACCAGACAGGGGCAUUCCCUACCAGUUGGGGUAUACUUCAGCAGUCAGGGAUAUUCAGCCUCGGAUCUUCAGGUGACCAUCCUCCAAGACAGACUUCAGGACAGACAACAAUGGAAAGUAGCUGAGCAGAGGCUGAUAGCCAAGUUCGGUACCCAUGAGAAUGGCUGCAACUGAGAACUUGGAUUCAUGUCGGCCACUACACUCUCUCUCCCCCUCUUCCCCCUCUCCCCUGCAUGCGCACACACAUAUAAGUCUGUGUGGUGAAUUUGUAUUUUCAAAAUUAUACUUACAGAUUUGUUCUAUUUUGCUCAAAAAGUACACAAAUUGUGGGCAGUCAUUUCAGACAGUCAAUUCAUAUAAUAUUUUGUAAAUUCCACUUUGGAAGUAGACCCAGUCUGAGUCACGAUUGGGAUACAGACAAACUCUGACCUCACACCUUUAAGGUAUUGUCUGAGCUGAAAUGUCACCUUGUUUUGUAAAACCUUAACUUACCUUGAGAAUGUGACUUAAAAGAAGUUUUGGGAUUUACGUAUUAAUAAACAGAAACCUGUAACCCCUUCUAAAAGAUGGAAGACUUAACAGCAAUUGAAGUUUGUUAAAUAUAUCACUUUAUUUGCAUCACAUUAAUGUUUUGCUAUAAAUUUUGUGUUUUAUGUUCCUACCAUGUGAAGAAGGAGUGGUGCUCCAAACAGGAGUGCUUCUAAAUAAAC